rnacentral:rRNA from 1 species
CUACGGAGGGUGCAAGCGUUACUCGGAAUCACUGGGCGUAAAGCGCGCGCAGGCGGGCUGAUAAGUUGGAUGUGAAAGCCUACGGCUCAACCGUAGAACUGCAUCCAAAACUGUCAGUCUAGAGUCUGGGAGGGGAAGAUGGAAUUAGUUGUGUAGGGGUAAAAUCCGUAGAGAUAACUAGGAAUACCAAAAGCGAAGGCGAUCUUCUGGAACAGUACUGACGUUGAGGCGCGAAAGCGUGGGGAGCAAACAGGAUUAGAAACCCUAGUAGUCC